rnacentral:rRNA from 1 species
AUGGCCGGAGCCGGGGAAGACGACGCAGCUCCUCCUCCCCCUUCUCCAGAUCGACAGCAGCCCAUGGAAGAGGCGGCGGCGGCGGCCAAGCGGAGCCGGUCGGAGAACCACCAUGGCCUCGCCGACGGGCCGUCCUUCCGGAUGGAGGACCUUCCGGCGGAGGUUCAGCCGGUUAUAAUCUCACUGCUCCCACUGAAAGAGGCCGUGAGGACGAGCAUUGUUUCAAGAAGUUGGACAACGCUCUGGAGAUUCCACUGCGACCUAUGUUUUGAUGUGGAUUCUAACACCGAUGACAAUUCCGCUCAUCAGGUCAAUGGCACUGGCACCAAUGACCAAUCCACUAAUCGGUAUAAUACCAAAAUAACACGGGCAAAGUUCAUGGAGACUGUAAAUUCCGUUAUUCAACGGCAUAGUGGGAUAGGAAUCAAUAAGUUCAGUAUCAGCUGUGACCUGCACAAAGAGGACUCUCAUCAUCUUGACAAGUGGAUUCGGUUUGCCGCUUCAUCAAAGGCAAAAAUAAUAGAUUUUCAUCGGAAGAUAUCUGAUUACCGAGUUGAAGAAGCUCCCCACUUUCCUCUUGAGGCCUUAGAUGCUCAAGGUAGCUCAUUUGUGCAGUCCUUGUCUCUCGCCAGUGUUUCUAUAAAGCCACGCUCAGGAAUAUGCCGCUUUACAAUACUCAGAAGGCUUGUUUUGAGCUCUGUUCAGAUAUUUGGAGAUUUUCCAGGCUUGCUUGCAAAAUGUUCAAGACUUGAGGACUUAGAGAUCAAAUGGUGUUCUGGUGUGGAUGACUUAAUCGUACCACACACACUCGAUAAACUUCAACAUUUGCUGAUUGCCGGAAUGGACGUCCAGAUGGUUGAGUUUCAUGCUACUGAUCUUGCUCACUUUGAGUACAAAGGCCGAGUAACCCCUAUAGUGCUUCAUGGUUGCUUAAAACUAGAGAAGGCAACAAUUGCGUUUGAGGCCUCUAAUGUACUGCCCCAUGCAUUCAAUGUAAUUCCAAGCAUUUCCCCAGUGAAGAUAUUAAUUGUGCGAGCUUUUAUAUCAAAAUAUGGACAGUCCCUGGAGCUGCCAUUAAGACCACAGGGCAUGUUUAUGCAUCUGAGGCAUAUGACUUGUAAAAUUAUCGUCCUUGCUAGAGAUGUAAAUGACUAUAAUGGAGUUCUUCAACUGGCCCAUUGGUUGGACAGUGCACCGCGACUGGAGACAUUGGACUUGCAUAUGUCCUAUCUGAGGUCCGGUGCUUUCGUAAGUGCCGAGGUGGCGGGAGUGGAAGCUCCCUGUAUGCGUCGCCAUGAUCAUCUCAAGACGGUCUUCAUGAGUGGGUUUCAGUGUUACAAGUCUCAGAUUGAGCUGGCGUGCUGUAUCCUGGGAAAUGCUUCUGUUCUUGAGCAGCUGACAGUAGAAGCAAUAUGGGGUGAUGAUGAUUACAGGCGGAUCUGUGAAUGGGCAGAGGUAACCUCGAAGCGCUUUGGUAAGGUGAUCACUGUCUUAGAUGCCCCCCUUAACAGUGAGUAA